rnacentral:rRNA from 1 species
UUAACACAUGCAAGUCGAGGGGCAGCAUUUUAGUUUGCUUGCAAACUGAAGAUGGCGACCGGCGCACGGGUGAGUAACACGUAUCCAACCUGCCGAUAACUCCGGAAUAGCCUUUCGAAAGAAAGAUUAAUACCGGAUAGCAUACGAAUAUCGCAUGAUAUUUUUAUUAAAGAAUUUCGGUUAUCGAUGGGGAUGCGUUCCAUUAGUUUGUUGGCGGGGUAACGGCCCACCAAGACAACGAUGGAUAGGGGUUCUGAGAGGAAGGUCCCCCACAUUGGAACUGAGACACGGUCCAAACUCCUACGGGAGGCAGCAGUGAGGAAUAUUGGUCAAUGGGCGAGAGCCUGAACCAGCCAAGUAGCGUGAAGGAUGAAGGCUCUAUGGGUCGUAAACUUCUUUUAUAUGGGAAUAAAGUUUUCCACGUGUGGAAUUUUGUAUGUACCAUGUGAAUAAGGAUCGGCUAACUCCGUGCCAGCAGCCGCGGUAAUACGGAGGAUCCGAGCGUUAUCCGGAUUUAUUGGGUUUAAAGGGAGCGUAGGUGGAUUGUUAAGUCAGUUGUGAAAGUUUGCGGCUCAACCGUAAAAUUGCAGUUGAAACUGGCAGUCUUGAGUACAGUAGAGGUGGGCGGAAUUCGUGGUGUAGCGGUGAAAUGCUUAGAUAUCACGAAGAACUCCGAUUGCGAAGGCAGCUCACUAGACUGUCACUGACACUGAUGCUCGAAAGUGUGGGUAUCAAACAGGAUUAGAUACCCUGGUAGUCCACACAGUAAACGAUGAAUACUCGCUGUUUGCGAUAUACAGUAAGCGGCCAAGCGAAAGCAUUAAGUAUUCCACCUGGGGAGUACGCCGGCAACGGUGAAACUCAAAGGAAUUGACGGGGGCCCGCACAAGCGGAGGAACAUGUGGUUUAAUUCGAUGAUACGCGAGGAACCUUACCCGGGCUUAAAUUGCAACAGAAUAUAUUGGAAACAGUAUAGCCGUAAGGCUGUUGUGAAGGUGCUGCAUGGUUGUCGUCAGCUCGUGCCGUGAGGUGUCGGCUUAAGUGCCAUAACGAGCGCAACCCUUAUCUUUAGUUACUAACAGGUGAUGCUGAGGACUCUAGAGAGACUGCCGUCGUAAGAUGUGAGGAAGGUGGGGAUGACGUCAAAUCAGCACGGCCCUUACGUCCGGGGCUACACACGUGUUACAAUGGGGGGUACAGAAGGCGGCUACCUGGUGACAGGAUGCUAAUCCCAAAAACCUCUCUCAGUUCGGAUCGAAGUCUGCAACCCGACUUCGUGAAGCUGGAUUCGCUAGUAAUCGCGCAUCAGCCAUGGCGCGGUGAAUACGUUCCCGGGCCUUGUACACACCGCCCGUCAAGCCAUGAAAGCCGGGGGUACCUGAAGUACGUAACCGCAAGGAGCGUCCUAGGGUAAAACUGGUAAUUGGGGCUAAGUC